GACGAACGCUGGCGGCGUGCUUAACACAUGCAAGUCGAACGGAAAGGCCCUGCUUGCAGGGUACUCGAGUGGCGAACGGGUGAGUAACACGUGGGUGAUCUGCCCUGCACUUCGGGAUAAGCUUGGGAAACUGGGUCUAAUACCGGAUAGGAGCCAUCUUUAGUGUGGUGGUUGGAAAGUUUUUUCGGUGUAGGAUGAGCUCGCGGCCUAUCAGCUUGUUGGUGGGGUAAUGGCCUACCAAGGCGGCGACGGGUAGCCGGCCUGAGAGGGUGUACGGCCACAUUGGGACUGAGAUACGGCCCAGACUCCUACGGGAGGCAGCAGGGGGGAAUAUUGCACAAUGGGCGCAAGCCUGAUGCAGCGACGCCGCGUGGGGGAUGAAGGCCUUCGGGUUGUAAACUCCUUUCGCUAGGGACGAAGCUUUUUGUGACGGUACCUAGAUAAGAAGCACCGGCUAACUACGUG
rnacentral:rRNA from 1 species